rnacentral:sRNA from 1 species
GCUGGGUGCACUGGCACACACCUGUAAUCCCAGCAGCUUCGGAGGCUGAGGCAGGAAGAUCGAGAGUUCAAAGCCAGCCUCAGCAAACAUGAGGCAUUAAGCAACUCAGUGAGACCCUGUCUCUA